rnacentral:rRNA from 1 species
GAUGAACGCUGGCGGCGUGCCUAAUACAUGCAAGUCGAGCGAACAGACGAGGAGCUUGCUCCUCUGACGUUAGCGGCGGACGGGUGAGUAACACGUGGAUAACCUACCUAUAAGACUGGGAUAACUUCGGGAAACCGGAGCUAAUACCGGAUAAUAUAUUGAACCGCAUGGUUCAAUAGUGAAAGACGGUUUUGCUGUCACUUAUAGAUGGAUCCGCGCCGCAUUAGCUAGUUGGUAAGGUAACGGCUUACCAAGGCAACGAUGCGUAGCCGACCUGAGAGGGUGGUCGGCCACACUGGAACUGAGACCCGGUCCAGACUCCUACGGGAGGCAGCAGUAGGGAAUCUUCGGCAAUGGGCGGAAGCCUGACGGAGCAACGCCGCGUGAGUGAUGAAGGUCUUCGGAUCGUAAAACUCUGUUAUUAGGGAAGAACAAAUGUGUAAGUAACUAUGCACGUCUUGACGGUACCUAAUCAGAAAGCCACGGCUAACUACGUG